GACGAACGCUGGCGGCGUGCUUAACACAUGCAAGUCGAACGCACCUGCCCCUUCGGGGGUUAGGUGAGUGGCGAACGGGUGAGUAACACGUGAGCAACCUGCCCUUGACACUGGAAUAACAGCUGGAAACAGCUGCUAAUACCGGAUAUGACCCCGGCCGACAUCAGUCGGGGUGGAAAGCUCCGGCGGUCAGGGAUGGGCUCGCGGCCUAUCAGCUUGUUGGUGAGGUAACGGCUCACCAAGGCUUCGACGGGUAGCCGGCCUGAGAGGGCGACCGGCCACACUGGGACUGAGAUACGGCCCAGACUCCUACGGGAGGCAGCAGUGGGGAAUAUUGCACAAUGGGCGCAAGCCUGAUGCAGCAACGCCGCGUGCGGGAUGACGGCCUUCGGGUUGUAAACCGCUUUCAGCUUCGACGAAGCGCAAGUGACGGUAGAAGCAGAAGAAGGACCGGCCAACUACGUGCCAGCCGCCGCGGUAACAC
rnacentral:rRNA from 1 species